UCGGCCUGGGACGCGGACGAGCGGCCCGAGCUGCGGGCCCGGGGCAACCGGUGGACGGUCGUCGGCGCACCGGUUCAGCUCCGGCUAGGCCGGG
rnacentral:tRNA from 1 species